rnacentral:rRNA from 1 species
CUACGUAGGGGGCUAGCGUUAUCCGGAAUUACUGGGCGUAAAGGGUGCGUAGGUGGUUUCUUAAGUCAGAAGUGAAAGGCUACGGCUCAACCGUAGUAAGCUUUUGAAACUAAGAGACUUGAGUGCAGGAGAGGAGAGUAGAAUUCCUAGUGUAGCGGUGAAAUGCGUAGAUAUUAGGAGGAAUACCAGUUGCGAAGGCGGCUCUCUGGACUGUAACUGACACUGAGGCACGAAAGCGUGGGGAGCAAACAGGAUUAGAUACCCUGGUAGUCCACGCCGUAAACGAUGAGUACUAGCUGUCGGGGGUUACCCCCCUCGUUGGCGCAGCUAACGCAUUAAGUACUCCGCCUGGGAAGUACGCUCGCAAGAGUGAAACUCAAAUGAAUCGACGGGG